rnacentral:rRNA from 1 species
UGAGGAAUAUUGGUCAGUGGGCGGGAGCCUGAACCAGCCAAGCCGCGUGAGGGAAGAAGGCCCUAUGGGUCGUAAACCUCUUUUGUCAGGGAACAAAAGCGAGUAUGUAUACUAGUCUGAGUGUACCUGAAGAAAAAGCAUCGGCUAACUCCGUGCCAGCAGCCGCGGUAAUACGGAGGAUGCGAGCGUUAUCCGGAUUUAUUGGGUUUAAAGGGUGCGUAGGCGGCGAUGCAAGUCAGCGGUAAAAGCCCGGGGCUCAACCCCGGCGAGCCGUUGAAACUGCAGUGCUAGAGAAGGCGAGAGGUACGCGGAAUGCGCAGUGUAGCGGUGAAAUGCUUAGAUAUUGCGCAGAACUCCGAUUGCGAAGGCAGCGUACUGGCGCCUGACUGACGCUGAGGCGCGAAAGCGUGGGGGAUCGAACAGGAUUAGAUACC